AUUGAACGCUGGCGGCAUGCCUUACACAUGCAAGUCGAACGGCAGCACGGGAGCAAUCCUGGUGGCGAGUGGCGAACGGGUGAGUAAUACAUCGGAACGUGCCCAAUCGUGGGGGAUAACGCAGCGAAAGCUGUGCUAAUACCGCAUACGAUCUACGGAUGAAAGCAGGGGAUCGCAAGACCUUGCGCGAAUGGAGCGGCCGAUGGCAGAUUAGGUAGUUGGUGAGGUAAAGGCUCACCAAGCCGUCGAUCUGUAGCUGGUCUGAGAGGACGACCAGCCACACUGGGACUGAGACACGGCCCAGACUCCUACGGGAGGCAGCAGUGGGGAAUUUUGGACAAUGGGCGAAGGCCUGAUCCAGCCAUGCCGCGUGCAGGAUGAAGGCCUUCGGGUUGUAAACUGCUUUUGUACGGAACGAAACGGCCUUUUCUAAUAAAGAGGGCUAAUGACGGUACCGUAAGAAUAAGCACCGGCUAACUACGUGCCAGCAGCCGCGGUAAUACGUAGGGUGCAAGCGUUAAUCGGAAUUACUGGGCGUAAAGCGUGCGCAGGCGGUUAUGUAAGACAGUUGUGAAAUCCCCGGGCUCAACCUGGGAACUGCAUCUGUGACUGCAUAGCUAGAGUACGGUAGAGGGGGAUGGAAUUCCGCGUGUAGCAGUGAAAUGCGUAGAUAUGCGGAGGAACACCGAUGGCGAAGGCAAUCCCCUGGACCUGUACUGACGCUCAUGCACGAAAGCGUGGGGAGCAAACAGG
rnacentral:rRNA from 1 species